rnacentral:rRNA from 1 species
AAUAGCCUAACGGCUGAACCAGCAAUUUGAAAGAAUGGAAAAAAAACAUGAAUUUUAGGGUGCUAAAAUUUAUGAUUUUAGUGGUUUAUCCACAUAAAAUUCUAGAUAUAAUAUUGAUAAUGACAACUUUAUAUCUAAUAGUCUUGACUAAGUCACGUGCCAGCAGUCGCGGUAAUACGGGAGAGACAAGUGUUAUUCAUCUUUAAUAGGUUUAAAGGGUACCUAGACGGAUUACACAACUAACAUAGGUCUAUUUUUAAUAAGACAUUUUAUAGUAUGGUAAUCUAGAGUUUUAUAUGAGAGGUAGAUGUCAGUACCAACGGAGUAGAGAUGAAAUUUUUUAAUACUGUUGGGCACUGGUAAAGGCGAAAGCAACCCUUUAUGUAAAAACUGACGUUGAGGGACGAAGGCUUGGGUAGCAAACAGGAUUAGGUACCCUAAUAGUCCAGGCAGAUAAUGAUGAGUGCCAUAGAUUAGAAUUAUUUUGAUCUAUAAAUGAAAGUGUAAGCACUCCACCUCAAGAGUAAUGUGGCAACGCAGGAACUGAAAUCAUUAGACCGUUUCUGAAACCAGUAGUGAAGUAUGUUGUUUAAUUCGAUAAUCCGCGAAAAACCUUACCACAACUUGAAUAUUAUAGUGUAAUUGGUCAGAUACCAAUGUUUAUACACUAGUUAUACAGGUGUUGCACGGCUGUCUUUAGUUAAUGUCGUGAGAUUCAGGUUAGCUCCAUUUAAUUAACGCAAACCCUUGCUUUAUAUAUCAUAUAUAAAGUAGUUCACCAGUAUAUUGGUUAAGAUAAUAGGGAUUAAGGCAAGCACUCGUGGCCCUAAUGUUGUGGGCUAUAGACGUGCCACAUAUGCCUGGACAAAAGGAAGCUAAAUUGUAAAAACUAGCAAAUCCUAAAAACAGGUUAUAAUAUUUAAUAU